rnacentral:lncRNA from 1 species
AUCGUCGUCCUCAUCCCCUUCUACAUCUUCAUCUUCAUCAUCUUCUUCAUCAAACUCCUCUUCUUCACCAUCCUCAUCGUCCUCGUCUUCCUCAUCUUCUCCUUCUAAAAAUAGUCCAAAAGGGAUUCAUUAAAUAUCCUCGACGCUCCACAGGGGACAAAGUGUUGAGGAUCUGUGGGCUGGCUCACAGAACAAAUGCUGUAAGGCCACGAACUGCAGUCACUUUCUUUCUACUAUGUGCUACAGCUCAGUCCCUUUGUCCGAUAGAGUCCCAUAAAAUCAGAGAGCUAGAAGUCCUGGUAGAUAAGACAAACACUAUAAUUCUCGCUGAUGAAAUGAUACAAUGGCUAAGAUUUGCUUCAAAAUUAUAUGGAGUGGGGAAGAAGGUAAGGGUAUGCAGGAAUAAAAUAAGAUCAGCUAUGACCAAUAAUUGCUGAAGCUGAGUGAUAAGAACAUGGGGGUUCAUUUUGCUAUUAUUUUUACCCUUUGUCACUGUCUGAAAUUUUUGACAGUAAAAAGUUAAAAAAAAAAAAAUCAUGUACCUUCUCUUGGGUAUCAUUACCAGAGUCACAGUCAGCUGCUCAAAUCAGGAACCUGAGAAACACCCAUAAUAACCCUGUGACUCAGGGGACAGGAGGCUGAGAGGCACCUGCAUCUCUAGCUGGUUGUUCGGACCUCUAGUGCGGCAGUUCUUGCUUCUCCUGGGUCCUAGAGCACACCAUGCUCUCACCUGCCUCCUGGUCUCUGCAUGCUCUUUCCAUCCUCUUUGCUUGGCUAACUCUGACUCCACCUUGGAGUCUCAGUCAACAUCACUUCCUUAGGCAGUCUUACUCACCAGACCUCCCAAUGCCAGGUCAUAGGCUCUCACCAUGAGUAUGUGGUGCUUCUCCAUUACAACACACUUUGCUUACUUGCAAUUAUUAUUUAGAAUUCUUAAUUUAAAACAAUUUUUUCUGUACAGAUAGGGUUUGUCUAUGUUGCCCAGGCUGGUCUUGAACUCCUGGAUUCCAGCAAUCAUCCUGCCUCACCCUCCCCAAGUGUUGGGAUUACAAGUGUGAGCCACCAUACCUAGCCUAUUUAUGAUUUAAAAAAAAAAAACAAAAAAAAAAAAACACCAUUUCUCUGUAAGGUCCAAGAGGGUAGGAACCUUGUUUUUUUGUUCCUUUUUUUUUUAAACCACUAUUUUCCGCAGUGCCUGGCACAUAGGAAAUGCUCAAGUAUUUGUUGGCUGACCCAUCUUUGCUCUCAGGAACUGCCCCCCACCUUCCAAGGAAUGUCCUUUACUGGCUCUUGCACAUGUGGCUGUUCUUCCUGUUUGAGGUGAACUUAAAUAGACAACAAGCACAAAUGGUUUUUAGGAAAAAUGGAAAAACUGUAGAAGGGACAAAGGGACAUAACAUUUGGAAAUAAGUGAGAUGUCCUAUUCUCUGUCCAUUUUACCACCUUAUAACUCAUUAAUUUUUGCCUGUCUCAAUAUGCUUCAAAAUAAAACUGUAAAAAUGCUUCCAGAGAAUUAUACCAUUAACUGCACCCAAACUCCUUGAUGCUUUUCCUCCUCUAUUUUCUUGAUAAUUUCUGUCAUAUGUGCUAAUUUUUAAAGAAAAGAAAUACUCAUGCUGACUGAUGUGAAAACUAAUCAUUCUGCUUCCUCCAAACCAGGGGUUCCCAACUCCCAGGACUGGUACUGGUCUGUGGCCUGGGCCGCACAGCAGGUGGUGAAGAGCAGGCCAGUGACCAUUACCACGUGAACUCCGCCUCCUGUCACAUCACCUGUUAGAUCCUCAUAGGAGUGCAAAUUCUAUUGUGAACUGCGCAUGUGAGGGAUCUGGACUGUGCAUUCCUUAUGAGAAUCUAAUGCCUGAUCUAAGGUGGAACCGUUUCAUCCCAAAACCAUUCAGCUGCCGCCCCCAACCCCUUCCCUGCAUCUGUGGAAAAACUGUCUUCCAUGAAACCAGUCCCUGGUGCCAAAAAGGUUGGAGACUGCUGCUCUAAGCCACCUGUACGUGAGAAGCGUUUUAUUCUAAGAGUGACUGAGAAUAAACAAACUCAGCAUGCAAAGAAAACACAAACUAAUCAGGAGGAAUAUCUUGGGUAGAAAGUAUUAGUUAUUUCUUAAAAUCUGUAAAUCUGUAAAAUAUGUAUAAAUCCUGGGUCAAAUGCCAAAACUACUGAAAAUCAUCUUUUAAUUCUAUGUUAUGAUCAGAGAUUAUUUCCCUUAUGAAUGAAAAACGGAAUCUAACAUAUAGUUAUUUGAAAUCAUUACCUUUUAAAACUCUGGUCAUAUGUCAAUGGAAGGGAAAGCUAUUUUAUUUAUAGCUGGCAAUAACAAACAGGUACCAAGUACCUACUCAGUGUCAGGCCCUGUGAAUCAGGAGAUAAGUAUCUACCCAAGAUGAUGACUGUAGUGCAGUAGGACAGCGGUCCUCAACCUUUUUGGCACCAGGGACCAGUUUUGUGGAAGACAAUGUUUCCACAGCCUGGGGGUGGGGGGAUGGUUUCAGGAUGAUUCAAACGCAUUAUGUUUAUUCUGCACUUUAUUUCUAUUAUUACAUUGUAAUAUAUAAUGAUAUAAUUAUACAACUCAUCAUAAUGUGGAAUCAAUGGGAACCCUGAGCUUGUUUUCCCUGCAACUAGACAGUCCCAUCUGGGGGCAAUGAGAGACAGUGACAUUCGAAGUGUGUGCUGCUUAUGUCCAGUAUACUCCAUAAUCUUGUUUUGGUUGCUGUCACUGCAGAAAACUUUGCUUCACAAAGAUAGGAUAUUGGAAAUGGAAGCAGGUUUUUCAGUGCUUUUUUGGCAAUCUCAGGAUAUUCCACCUCGACUUUAAUCCAGAAUAUAUGGAGAUUUUGAAGUUGUCUCAAACCAUACUUUUAAGGCCACUGCCAUUUGUGAUCUCAACCAGUUGAUCCUCUUCAAGCAUGAACAAAGUCGAUUGACCUGGCUUAUUCAUAAAUGGGUUGUGGAUCCAUUCCUUCCCAGUUCGGGGGUCUUUUGUGGUUGGGAAGUAAUGCUCAAACUCUUUUGAGAGCUGAGAUAGGUGAUCAUGCACCAGCUGUGAGAAAGAAGGCCCUGGCUCACUCUCUUUCAAAAAUCACUCCUACUGUUUGAAACAUGUCAAAAAUCCCAAUGCUCAGAACAGAAAACUAAGUAUCGUAUGUUCUCACUUGUAAGUGGGGGCUGAAUGAUGAGUAUACAUGGACACAUGGAGGGGAACAACACACACUGGGGCCUGUGGAGGCUGGGGACGGAGAGCAUCAGGAAAACUAGCUAAUGGACAGUGGGCUUAAUACUUAGGUGAUGGGAUGGUACACGUUUAUCUCUGCGACAAACGUGCACAUGUACCCCUGAACUUAAAAAAAAAAGUUUUACCACUCAUUCUGUGUUACUAAAAUGUUCUGCUAGUGGUGACUGUUAUUCUUAGAGAAAUCUCUGGAGCAGGCCUCUUAACUCAAAAACUCUGGCCAGUGAUCCACCUUUAGAACGCCAUCUCGCUUCUCUGUGUAAGAGAAGUAUUCUCUGCAUCCAUCUCACAGAACUGCGUGAACAGACAUGGGUUAAGGGCAUGUACUUUAAUGUGGUUAAUUUUAAUCACAUCCUGCAAAACGUUAAGUUCAGGUGACAUUUGUCAGCUAGCCAGCAUUUCUCUAUGGAUGACACAGUGCAUAGACUCACAUCCAGAAGCGACCUCUCUGACUCGAGUAGUGAAACCAGAAAGCCGUCCAGCCAUGGCAGCCGCUCCAUCUGUGCAUAUACGACACAAAAUGACCAAUUCAGUUUUCCUGAUAUGUAAUCGUUCAAAAGACUUGAAUAGUUCUGCAGCUGUGGUGCUGGUUGGCAACGAAGUACACAUAACAUAGUCUCAUGCACAUCCUCCUGAAAAUAUAUUGCACAAAAACAAGCAUUGUUGCCAUGUUGUCAACAUCGGCAGACUUGUCAACCUGCAAUGUGUACCACGGUGACUCAUCAAUCCUCUCUAACAACUAUGCCUCAAUAUCCUCUACUAUGUCAUCAAUUCAUCUAGUUAUGGUGCUAGCUCAAAGAGGAACAUGUGCCACCUUUUGAACUGCAGCUUAACUGCAGCCUCUCCUAAAAGUUCAUGACAAAUGUCCUUAGCAGCAGGCAGGAUCAACUCUUCAAUAGUAAAGGGCUUCUUACUUUAGCAAUGCAGUUAGUUAAGGGCUUCUUAGCUUUAGCAAUGCAGUUAGCCACUAAGAAUGAGAUGUUCUCAGUGCAGUCACAUUUGAUGAAGUGGGAGCUUUCAAUAAUUGCCUCUGUUUUUCACGUUCAUGUUUAUUUCUUUUGAAAAACUCCAAAGGCUUGUCUUUUAAACGCAGGGUGCUUGGUCUCCAAGUGGUGAAGCAGUUUUUUUUUUGUUUGUUUGUUUUUUGAGAUGGAGUCUUGCUCUAUCGCCCAGGCUAAAGCACAGCGGCACAAUCUCGGCUCACUGCAACCUCCGCCUCCCAGGUUCAAGCAAUUCUCAUGCCUCAGCCUCCCGAGAAGCUGGGACUAAAGGUGUGCACCACCAUGCCUGGUUAAUUUUUGUAUUUUUGCAGAGCCAGGGUUUCCCCAUGUUGGCCAGGCUGGUCUUGAACUCCUGACCUCAGGUGAUCUACCUCGGCCUCUGUAAGUGCUGGGAUUACAGGCAUGAGCCACUGUGCCCAGCCAGUGAAGUGGUUUUGAAGGUUUCAUGGCUUUGUUGGAUAGCUUGUUGCCACAUAUUAUACAAAGUGGGCUUGGAGAAUGUGAAUCAUCUGUUGCAAUGAACCUGUAAUUUAAGUAGCACUCUUGGUAUUUUCUUUUCAAUGAAGCUUUCUUUUCAUUGGCAGUCUUGUCUUCUGCUGUCUCAUUAUUGGGUCUUUCCCCCUUCUCAAAGAAGCUCUCCAGCGACGUUUUUUACUCAUGUUGGAUAGUUAGCUUGUGGGCCUAACAAAACUGUGACUGAGACAAAUACGCAGUGCGGGAAAGAGGUGUGGAUGGAAGUGGUAAAUAAAAAAAUGGGCAGGCCAUGCACUGACUAAAAAAAGCAUCAGAUUCUGACUUAAAGCCUGUCACCAGAUACAGCUGUACAACUGAAGUACACCAACUCACUUGCCACUAUAAAGCCUGCCACCAGAUGCAGCUUGUCACUUGCCACUCACAGAUAGGGGUUGAUGAGUCUGCAAGCAAUUGAUUUAUUAUCAUCUCUGUAAAGUCAAACCUCUUUGCUAAUGUUAAUCUGUAUUUGCAGCCACUCCCCAGUGCUAGCAUCACCACCUCAGCUCUAGCAUCACCACCUCAGCUCCACCUCGGAUCAUCAGGCAUUAGAUUCUUCUAAGGAGCACACAACCUAGCCCCCUCACAUGUGCAGUUCACAAUAGGAUUCUCGUUCCUAUGAGAAUCUAAUACCACCAUUGAUCUGACAGGAGGUGGAGCCCAGACAGUAAUGUGAGCAAUGGGGAGUGGCUGUAAAUACAGAUGAGGCUUCCUCACUGCUCAUGCGGCCUGGUUUCUAACAGGUCAUGGAGUAGUACCAGUCUGUGGCCUGUGGGUUGAAGACCCCUGAAGUAGGAAGACUUAAGAACAGCAGAGUGGCAAGCCUGUAAGAGCAAGCGGUUUACAGUUUAAACGCACAGCAUCCUAACUUAGCUUGUAGACUUCAGGAAAUGCUUCCCGGGCCAGGUUCAGUGUCUCAUCCCUGUAAUCCCACCACUUGGGGAGGCUGAGGUGGGAGGAUCCCUUGAGGCCAGGUGCUUAUGAAAUAGGCCUUAGCUAUAAAUUUAAUGGAAUGCCUACAUUCAAAAAAUACACGCGUGCGCACGCACACAAACACACACUAUUUUCCUCAAUAGUAAGAACAUCUAGUAGCUUUUUUUUUUGAGACACCCUGUCUGUCUUCUGAGACGGAGUGCAGUGGGGAACAAUCAUGGCUCACUGUAGCCUCAAACUCCUAGGUUCAAGUGAUCCUCCCACCUCGGCCUCCAGUCUUCUGAGUAGCUAAGACUCCAGGUGUGCGCCACCACACCUGGCUAAUUUUUUUUUUUUCUAUUUUCUGUAGAAACAAGGUAUUGCCAUGUUGCCCAGGCUAGU